GGGCCGUUAGCUCAGUUGGUAGAGCAGUAGACUCUUAAUCUAUUGGUCGAAGGUUCGAACCCUUCACGACCCACCA
rnacentral:tRNA from 1 species